CGGUCGACGGACCGUGGUUUGAGAAAGGCUGUAUUAUAUCACCCUGUCACAGGCCCUCCCAGUCAACAUCACCUCAUAAGAUUGCCUGCUGCAGUUGUUCGAGAGAUGUCCAGUUUGCAGCCGAACAUGCAGAACAGAGCAGACAUGCCCUCACUGUGAGCCACGUUGGCAAGUAUCCGGCCAGCAACCUUCACCUGUCAGAGGCAACAGCGUUCACGGGAUAAUAAUUUGUAUAAAUACAGAAGAUGGACUGGAGAUGCUUUUGCCAGAUGGCAGCCUCAGUCAUUUGAUGUGGAGACCAUAAUUGGAACCAUGUAUGGAGCCAGCACAUAGAGACUUUCAAGAUGAUGUGGUGAAGUCCAAACUGACAGACAGGCUUGAUGCUGAUGUCUCUGAAUGGAGAGAGACAUGGCACUCUGCAUUAACAUUUUACUAAAAACAACUUUUACAUGUAUUGUCUUUUUUAAAUAAUUGAAUGUAAUGGGAUCAGUCAAUAUGGGGAGGGAGAAACCCUGUGUAUUCUGCACCAGGAUCAGGAAACUCCUGUUGUAUACGGGACACCACACAGGAAGGUAUGGCCACGCUGACAUGUUUGCGAAGGUAGCCACAUUACCACCAGACAAAAUGCUGAUAGGCUCAGUAUCUGUAUCGGCUGGGAAUGACAAUGAAAGAUGAAAGGUGCACAUUGUUAUAUUAGCAGAACCCUGC